GGCACAUUGAAUCCCUAUUGCGCAUUAUGGGAUGAUUCCAGAAUGAACGACUCUUUGGGAAGCUGGUCCACCCAGGGAUGUAAAACUGUGCUUACCGAUGCAUCCCAUACGAAAUGCUUAUGUGAUCGUCUCUCUACCUUCGCCAUUUUGGCUCAGCAACCUAGAGAAAUAAUCAUGGAAUCAUCUGGGACUCCCUCAGUAACCCUAAUAGUAGGCAGUGGCCUUUCAUGCUUGGCUUUGAUCACCCUAGCAGUUGUCUAUGCAGCUCUA